CUGAGACAUUGUUUGGCAGCUCAGUUUCUGGUGUUGGGAUGUACUCCAAGAGAGGAGAGCGCUGAUUUAAGCAUGAGGGAAUGAAUAGGAGAGGUUAGAAGCUGUACACAUUAUAAAUACCGACAAGAGAGGAUUAAGCGCAUCAGGCAUCUUACUCUGGGAGGGUAUAAACUUACUAGCCUGUCAUUGUCGACGUGAAUUCUGUGACGUGUAUGUACAGUAUAUUAUAUCUAGGAGACAAUGUCACAAUCAAACGAAGGAACUGAUGGAGGAUCAAGAGUAGAUUAUGCUUAAAAGUGCAGGCAUGAGACGGCGGAAGGGUAAUGACAAUGGAGAGAUCCGCUAGAUGUGACAAACGCUGGCCACAUUUUUUAGUCGUUGUCCUUCGUAUGAACCCUGUGUACUGAUACGAUUGGUUUUACUUAACUACCUGGCGCAAUGUUUCAGUAAUAAGGAAGAAAAUUGAUGGUUAUGGGUU